rnacentral:misc_RNA from 1 species
GAUGAAGGAACGUAGCAAAAUGCGAUACUUGGUGUGAAUUGCAGAAUCCCGUGAACCAUCGAGUUUUUGAACGCAAGUUGCGCCCGAAGCCUUUUGGCCGAGGGCACGUCUGCCUGGGCGUCACGCAUCGCGUCGCCCCCCACAAAUUCUCCGUCAGGGGAGCUUGUGUUUCGGGGGCGGAUACUGGUCUCCCGUGCUCAUGGCGCGGUUGGCCGAAAUAGGAGUCCCUUCGAUGGACGCACGAACUAGUGGUGGUCGUAAAAACCCUCGUCUUUUGUUUCGUGCCGUUAGUCGCGAGGGAAGCUCUUCAAAAACCCCAACGCGUCGUCUCUUGACGGCGCUUCGACCGCGACCCCAGGUCAGGCGGGACUACCCGCUGAACUUAAGCAUAUCAAUAAGCGGAGGA